UGAAAAGUGCAAAACCAUCAAAAGGUGGUGACGCAAAAUCUCCGGUCUAAAGGAAUUUUCUUAUGACAGCGAGAUUGCCAUA
rnacentral:ncRNA from 1 species